rnacentral:rRNA from 1 species
AGUGAACGCUGGCGGUAGGCCCAACACAUGCAAGUCGAACGGCAGCACAGUAAGAGCUUGCUCUUACGGGUGGCGAGUGGCGGACGGGUGAGGAAUACAUCGGAAUCUACUUUUUCGUGGGGGAUAACGUAGGGAAACUUACGCUAAUACCGCAUACGACCUACGGGUGAAAGCAGGGGAUCUUCGGACCUUGCGCGAUUGAAUGAGCCGAUGUCGGAUUUGCUAGUUGGCGGGGUAAAGGCCCACCAAGGCGACGAUCCGUAGCUGGUCUGAGAGGAUGAUCAGCCACACUGGAACUGAGACACGGUCCAGACUCCUACGGGAGGCAGCAGUGGGGAAUAUUGGACAAUGGGCGCAAGCCUGAUCCAGCCAUACCGCGUGGGUGAAGAAGGCCUUCGGGUUGUAAAGCCCUUUUGUUGGGAAAGAAAAGCAGCAGGUUAAUACCCCGCUGUUCUGACGGUACCCAAAGAAUAAGCACCGGCUAACUUCGUG